rnacentral:rRNA from 1 species
CCUACGGGUGAGCAGCAGUGGGGAAUAUUGGACAAUGGGCGAAAGCCUGAUCCAGCCAUGCCGCGUGUGUGAAGAAGGCCUUCGGGUUGUAAAGCACUUUCAGUGGGGAAGAAAGCCUUGGGGCUAAUACCCUCGAGGAAGGACAUCACCCACAGAAGAAGCACCGGCUAACUCCGUGCCAGCAGCCGCGGUAAUACGGAGGGUGCGAGCGUUAAUCGGAAUUACUGGGCGUAAAGCGCGCGUAGGCGGUCUGAUAAGCCGGUUGUGAAAGCCCCGGGCUCAACCUGGGAACGGCAUCCGGAACUGUCAGGCUAGAGUGCAGGAGAGGAAGGUAGAAUUCCCGGUGUAGCGGUGAAAUGCGUAGAGAUCGGGAGGAAUACCAGUGGCGAAGGCGGCCUUCUGGACUGACACUGACGCUGAGGUGCGAAAGCGUGGGUAGCAAACAGGAUUAGAUACCCCGGUAGUC